rnacentral:rRNA from 1 species
CCUACGAGCGGCAGCAGUGAGGAAUAUUGGUCAAUGGGCGUAAGCCUGAACCAGCCAAGUCGCGUGAGGGAUGAAGGUUCUAUGGAUCGUAACCCUCUUUUAUCAGGGCAUAAAGUGCGGGACGUGUCCCGUUUUUUAUGUACCUUAUGAAUAAGGAUCGGCUAACUCCGUGCCAGCAGCCGCGGUAAGACGGAUGAUCCGAGCGUUAUCCGGAUUUAUUGGGUUUAAAGGGUGCGUAGGAGGCCUUUUAAGUCAUCGGUGAAAGUCUGUGGCUCAACCAUAGAAUUGCCGGUGAAACUGGGAGGCUUGAGUAUGUUUGAUGCAGGCGGAAUGCGGGGGGUAGC